AGCAAGCUCCCCAGGGGGCAUGAGGAGUGUGCGAACUGCGAAGCCGUGCUUCCCCUGCCCCCCCGAAGUGAAGGCGAAGCCGCUCUCGAGAUGCCUCGAGC
rnacentral:RNase_MRP_RNA from 1 species